AUGUCAUCACUUUUGCUCCUCAGCCUUCUGGGGCUCUGCAUCCCAGGCACUUAUGGUGACAUUUUAAUGACCCAGUCUCCAUCCUAUCUAUCUGGAACUCCUGGAGAGAGAAUCACCAUCACUUGCAGAACCAAUGAAAGCAUUAAAUACACUGAUGGGAAAAACUAUCUGAACUGGUACCAACAGAAAAUUGGGCCACCUAAGCAACUCAUUUAUCAGGUUUCCAACUUACGGCCCGGGGUUCCAGCCCGGUUCAGUGGCAGUGGGUCAGACAGGGAUUUCACCCUCACCAUCAGCAGCAUAAAGAGUGAAGAUGCCGGUGUCUAUUAUUGUGGGCAAGGUUCCUUUAGGCCUCACACAGUGAUAGAAUCCCUAACAUAA